rnacentral:rRNA from 1 species
CCGAGAAUAUUCGACAAUGCCCGAAAGGGUGAUCGAGCGACGCCGCGUGCGGGAAGAAGUUCUUAGGAAUGUAAACCGCUUUUAUGAGGGAGGAAUUUUUGACGCUACCUCAUGAAAAGGGGUUGUUAAGCUCGUGCCAGCAGCAGCGGUAAUACGAGUACCCCGAGCGUUAUCCGGAAUUAUUGGGCGUAAAGGGUGCGUAGUUUGCUUGGAUAGUCAGAUGACAAAGCCCGGUGCUUAACACCGGAUCCUCAUUUGAAACGUUCAAGCUUGAGCGCGUAAGAGGCAGAUGGAACUUACGGUGUAGGAGUGAAAUCCGUUGAUAUCGUAGGGAACACCAAAGGCGAAGGCAUUCUGCUGGGACGCCGCUGACAAUGAGGCACGAAAGCGUGGGUAGCGA